GUGAAAAUGAAGCGCGGCCAGCAGCUGCGGAGCCGGCAGUAAGAGAGAAAUACUCAGCGCGGACUAAACGGGGGGGUCUCAAUGAACGGCGUAACCGGGGGGGCGGGGCUCCGCGCAGGCGAUGACCGGGAAGACGUGAGGUUGAUCGAUUUCUCGGAGUUUGAUUUCGCGUCCUGGUUCCCCAUCACGUAUUCCGUAUCGACUACCAAUGCCUGCUUGCCGCCGUAUGGCGCCGGUGUUUGAGUCUGUGCUGCCGUGUGGAGGCAUUUCUGCGAUUUAACGGGCGAGAGUGAGAGAACAUGGGCCGCCGUUCUUCAGACAGCGAGGAUGACAGCCAUAGUCGGAGAAAGAGGAAGCACAGACGGCGCUCCUCGUCCUCCUCCUCCAGCUCAUCAGGGAGCAGAGUGACGAGCCGAAGCAAACACUCCAGCAGGAGAAGUCGCUCCCGGUCCAGAGCCCGAGACCGAGAUCAAGAGAGAGACAGGGACCGAGAUAGGAGGCGAAGGCACCGUUCCAGCAGCAGCUCAUCCAGAGGUUCCAGCCACAGGAAGCGGAGUCGUAGCACUGACAGGGGGCGGAGCCACAGAUCCCGGAGGUCUCGCUCCCGCAGCCGAAAGAGGUCUCGUUCCCGUCACCGCAGGUCCCGCAGUAGCGGCCGGUCCAGCAGGAGGCGCAGUCGUAGCCGGAGCCGAGGCCGGGACCGCAGCCAGCGCAAGACCCGGGACAGGGAAAGAGAGAGAGGACGGGACAGAGAGCGUGAGAAAGAGAAAGAUGCAAAAGCCAAGGAAAAGGAAAAACAAGGGGACGUGGGGAACAUCAAAGCCGGAUUAGAACAUCUGGGGAUGAAUAAUGGAGAGGGGUCACAGCGGGUCCUGGCUCUCUGGAUGUACAGUCACCUCCCUGAGCUUUUACCAUGCCACACCCCGCAUAUUAACCAGGGGCUGGGCCCUUGAAGGGCCACACUACGCAAAUGACCCCUAAUGCCACAUUUAAAGACCCCCCCUCAUAUUCAGCCAUAUAGUCAUAUAUUCUUCAUUUCAUAUUCCUGCUGUUCAUCCCUAAAGCUGACUCUGUUUCAUGAUGGUCAGUGACUGUGCCAUCGAGCACUUCAGCAUGAAUCCAUAAGUCCAGGAAUUCAGUUGGAAUUCUAAAAUAGAUUAAGAUAUGUAUAAAUUAGAUAAAGCCACGCGUGCAGUAGAAUCCUGAAUUAAUGCGGCAAGUCAUUUAAAUCUAUUAUGUUGCUUGGCAACCUCAUCCUACAUUUUCUUGGCAAAAUACUUAUUUUAUGUGAUUAUUAUUAUUAAUAAUCUCUAAUAUAAUAAUAAGCUCUAAUAUUCAAAUGCAACUUUUAAAUUGACUUUAAAACGAUAACUUCAGCAGACUAUGCUGUACAGUGUUCAAGAGAACUGUCGUUGAGUGUAAGAUGUUGUUGAAAGUCAAAUAUAUUUUGCUAAAGCCUGUUUUAUCCACUCCUGAAACAAAAAAGUUGCAGCCCUGUUAAUAAUAAACUG
ensembl:lncRNA